rnacentral:tRNA from 1 species
GAGGUUAUAGCUCAGGGGUAGAGCACGUGCUUAGCAUGCAUGAGGUCCUGGGUUCAAUCCCUAGUACCUCCG